UGAUUUCUUCUUUAGCUCUUCUCUGAGAGGUUUGUUGCAGUUGGCAAUGAAAUGGCCAGGCUUCUUGCAGUUUUAGCAUAGAUCAUUCAUUUGCUCCUGGCUGUUAUAGUUGUUGACCUUCUUUGGCUUGCUGGUUUUGCCUUAACGCAUGAAUCUUCUUAGUCUUUUUAUCAGCAUUGCAAGGUCCUCAUCAUCGUCUUCAUCAUAGUCAGAAUCAAUCUCAG
rnacentral:lncRNA from 1 species